UAAGUAAACUUUUACAAAUUCAGGUCUUUAUGUUCUCUGAAACUUAUGGUUUUAGAGAGUUUCCUAGAGCACUGAAUGUAUAAGCAAUUUGCUCAGAACCACACAACCAGUAUUUAUCAGAGGUCAGAUGCCAAUCCAGGUUUUCUCUACUUCAAGCCUAUGGAACUUCAUUUUUCACAACUUAGAACCCAGCUUCUUAAACUAUAGUUCCUAUUCCAUUUGGGAUCUCAACUGAAUAUGAAUUAUGAUUUAUUAGCAAAUGUUUGACUUGUAUGCCUGUAUACCCAGGAUCACAUAAAAUUUUUUUGAGUGAAAAGAGGUCUCAAGUAGAAAAAAUUUAAAAAGCCCUCUUAAAAGGCCUCUUCUAUUUAAAGCCCAAUGGUUGGUAUGCCUUUUCAGUAAGUUAGAAAUAUCCUUAGAUAGAAAUUAGCAGUGCCUAUGAAUCACUAAUAUUCUUUGACUAGUGAGAUCCAGUCCUUAUUUGCCUUGAUGUAAAUUAGAUUAAUUUGGUAGUUUAUAUAUCCCAGGAUGGAACUAUAGUAAGCAACAUGGUGCAAUGGAAAAAGCAUUGAAUUUUGUAUCAGAGAAUCAAGGUUCUGAAUUCCAGUUCUCUCAUUUAUGUUUGUGUGCCCUCAAAUCAUUCAACUCAUCUCUCUGGCUCUCGUCUGCAAAACUGGGCAGUGGGGAAAAAUGCAGUAGAUUAGAUAUAAGGUUCCUCAAAAACUAUAAUUUAUGAAAAAAAUAAUAACAAUACAAUUACCUCCACCACUUAAUAGUGUAAGUUCUGAGUCUAUUUCUUGAUUUGUAGAAUUCAAAUAAUACUACUCAAUACCAAUCCUACUACAAGCUUUCCAACUAUCAAGUGUUAUGUAAUGAGUUACUUCCUGUAUCAUCUCACUUGCUUUUAGUGAGAAAAGAUGAUCAUAUUAUCAAAGUAAGCUUCUAUGAAAGAAUCAAAUAUAUUUGCCAGUAAUUUAUUUUUAAAAUGGUAAAAUAAUACUGGUUUGUGGCCAAUUGCAUUUCUUGGCACUCAAAUUCCCAUAACAUAUUGCUGUCUUGUGCUUGUUUGUGGGUUUAACAGAAUUUGUCAUACACCUCACUCCUACCAACUUUGUAGAGACUUCAAUUCCUGGACUUUCUCCCACAAAAAAACGUAAAAUCAGAAGUUCUUAGCAGAUGCAAACAACAGUGUCUAUAAUUAGCCUCAGUACAAAGCACAGCUAACCUUGCUGCCUUGGGCCUGAAGAAAAAUGUGACCUUGGUAAUCUAGACCACAAGGUCUAGACAAAGAAUUUCUUUAAAUGGUCUUAUUUGUAUUCCUACAAUCCCUACUAUUCCUUUUUCUCUUAAUGCAUUGAUAGCAAGUCAGCAAGGUAGUCAUAUUUGGGUACAAGGGGGAUCAUUUAGGUCCUCUCCUAAAUGAAGAUCCCUCAAAAUUACUGGUAUUCUUUUUAAUCAAUAAGGAUUCUUAGUAAAGCAAGUAAUGCUAGUAUGAGUUUUUGGAGAGAUUUGGAGAUUUGUACUAUAAGUGAUUUAAAUAUCAUACCUUCUUUGAACAAGGUGGAUACUAACAGGAUUAGUUGUCCUGAGUGGCUAUCCUAUCUUUUAUAAGUUAUUCAAAUACAAAUUUCUUAGGUGGUAUUAUGAAUGUGACAUUCUAGAUAUAAUUUAACCAAUGAACAAUACAUUUGGCCUUCUAUCUCCUUUACUCUGGACACAAUGGUUAACUAUUAAUAACACUUGAUAUUACAUUAUCGAAAUUUAUGGUAAUCAUAAUCUGUGUAUUGUUCAUUGGUUAAGUUAUAUCUAGAAUAUCACAUUCAGUUCUCCUUGCCAUAUUUCAAUUGAUACAUAAAGAUGUAUUUAAUAAGAAGGUGACUGUCAUGAAAAAUAGAUCAUGAAAUGGUUGAAAGAAUUGGAAUGUUUAAAAUAGGAAAAGGAGAUUUAGCAAAAAUAUAUAAACUUCUCAAAUAUCUAAAGAGCUGUUUUACAAAAGAUGAGUUUUACUUAUGCUUUGUAAUUGCAGAAAGGAAAACUAGAAAUGAUGGAUGGAAGUUAUAGAAAGGACAAUUGCAACUCAAUAAUAGAACUUUUUACAUUUUGAGAGGCAUAAAAAUGAAUUGGACUGCUUCAUGAAGGAGUUACUUCACUGGAAACGUCUAAGGAGAGGAUACACUAUUACUUAGGGAAAGAUAUCAAAAAUAUUCCUUCUUUGACAAAAAUAUUGCUGUAGAUUACCUUCAAAGUUCCUUAAAACUUUAAGGUUCUAUAAUUCUUGUCAAGUUCUUAUCUGCCACCAAAAUUCUUGUGUACUUAAUAUCUUACUACAUAAUGUGGCACUUGACUAGAUAAUAUCUUGUUUCUCUAAGGGGCAUCGUUUUCCAGGCAAAAAUGUGUGUCCUUCAAAAACAUUUACUAUGAUUCAUAUUUAUUUUUGGCUCUUAUAUAAUCAGAAACAGAGAUGACAUAAUAGAAUAGAAUAGAAAAUUAAAAUUUACUUGAUACACCCAAGUCCCUGAAUAUUAUCAAACCAUAUACCUUUUGAUGCUGCUAACGUUCACUAAAGAUACAUCAAUAGACGGUCCAAAGUUGAGUAUGAAUACGUUUGGCAUUUCAGAAAUCAUUGAAAUUCAAGAUUAUAGCUACAGAUUUAACUCAGGAGAGAAUGAGCCAAUUGUAUCUUGAAAUGAAAUAUACCUGUACAAGAAAAUUAUCUUUUUUUUUUUUUUUUUUUUAACAGAGCUCAUGCCUGGGUAAUUUUUUACAACAUUAUCCCUUGAAUUCUCUUCUGUUGUGACUUUUCCCCUCCCUCCUUCCACCCCCUCCCUCAGAUGGCAAGCAGUCCUAUUCAUGUUAAAUGUCACAGUAUAUACUAAAUAAAAUAUAUGUGUGCAGAACUGAACAGUUCUCUUGUUGCACAGGAAGAAUUCAGAAAGUAAAAAUAACCUGGGAAGAAAAACCAAAAUGCAAACAGUUUACAUUCAUUUCCCAGUGUUCUUUCUUUGGGUGUAGCUGCUUCUCUCCAUCAUUGAUCAAUUGAAACUGAGUUAGAUCUUCUCUUUGUCAAAGAAAUCCACUCAGGAAAAUAAUCCUGAUGAAUUCUAGGAAUCUGGUCUUAUUGGGUAAGUGUGGCAUUCUUGUGUGCUUAUCAUCCAUCUAAUUUUUGGAAUGUGUUUCAUUUCCUUAGUCAUUAAAAAUUAUGGAACUUCUGGUGUCUCUUUUGCAUAGCUACCUGAAGUUCAAUUUUCAUAUAUUCCUAAUCCCUGUGGGACACAGAAAUAAGGUUCUCUUGUGCUUGUUUAUAGAUGAAAGUUCUGCAUUCUGUAAAAAAUGAAAUUGGGACUUGUCCAACCUUUGAUGUAAUAUGUAGCUCCUCCUUCUAAGAUCCUGAAAAAUAAGGAUUUGGGGAUUUCAAGGAUGGGUCUUUGUCCCCAGCACAUAAAGUCUUUUUUCUUUUCAUAUGAACAGGAUAUUUAAUUUCCAAGCCAGAUGUGUUAUCCCAGUUGGAACAAAGAAGAAAGUUUUGAAUAGUAAAAAGACAAAUCCCAAGAGGUACUUGUCCAAAUAACAAAGAACUACUUGAAGACCACAAGACUACUGAGACCCAGAAGAGAUUAUGAGACAGAAAACAGAGAAGCACAAAGUAGUACAUCUUCAGAGCACAUUGGCAACUCAGUAGUAUUGAAAAUAAACAAGUGUUUAAUUGCAACAAGAGAACUAUUCCUCCACCAUCCUGGUUGUAUGUGUAUGUAAAUGUAAAUAUCAAUUUUUUAAAUUAAGCACAAACAAAUGUAAUUUCAUAAACUAAAGCUUGUAUUUAUUAGAGAAAUUAUUAGCAACAUUUAUAUCUUGGGAAGAAAAUAUUUUUUGGUGAUAAGUGGUGAAAUUUAGACAGAAAAGAUAAAAAUACCAAUGACAAUGAGGCAGAAUCUUUGCCAACAACUAUAGUAUACCCAAACUGACAAGGAAAAAAAAUAUGCUCAAUCAUUUUUGUGAUAUGAAUUUACAUCUAAUGAUGAGAUUGGCAUGGAAAAAUCUCUGCUUAGUUUAUAAGGAAGUUUUGUAGGAAACCAGCCAGACCAAAAUAGCAUCUUAAUACCAAGUAGGCAGUGUGCUUGAACAAAUCAAUGAAAUACUUGGAACAAUUUUUAAAAUCUUCAAAGAGAAACAAUGUUUUGAGAAAUUUAUUACAGUUAACAAAGAAUAUUUAUUCUAUUGUAUGAAACUUCUUAUUUAAUUGAGAAAAAUUAAAAAGUUCUAUGCAAUAGGAGAUCUCAUGUUCCCUGCUACUAUUAAAAUGUCAGAAAUAGUUCAUGAAAAAAAGUAUGGGGAUGAAAUACAUAAAAUUCCUUUAUCAAAUGAUAACUGUGUCUGAAAGAUUUUCUGAAAUCAAUUAACAAUCAAUUCCACCAGAUUAUUACCAGGCUUAAGAAAAGCCCAAAGUUUGCAAUUUAGUUAGAUGAAACGACUGAUAUUUCUAACAUAGCACAGGUGUUACUUUAUGUAAGAUAUGUUUGCAUAUGAAGGAAGCAUACAUUAUUGUUUUGUCUCCCUUUGGAAGGGCACACAAGAGGAGAAGAUAUAUGUAUAUUAAAGUCAAUAAAAUUUUCAUAAAUAAAGAUUUACAAUAGAAAAAUUGCUUUGGCGUCUGUACAGACUAUGCUAGAUCAAUGAUGGGUGAGAAUGCUGGAUUUGUAGUAAAAAUUAAAGCUGGUGGCAACGAACAUAUCACUUUUAUUCACUACAUGAUCCAUCAGUAGGUAUUCAUAGCCAAAAAAAAAAAACACCAGUUUAUAUCAUUUUAUAUAUAUAUGGUAAUAUAUAUCACCAAUUAUUAUCAUUAACUUUAUUAAAAGCCAUGCCCUUCACAGUCAUUUGUUUUCAAACCUCUACAAAGACAUGAAUUCUGAUUACAAAAACUUAUUACAUACAGAG